rnacentral:rRNA from 1 species
CACGAACCGUACGAACGUUAUUCGGAAUUACUGGGCUUAAAGGGUUUGUAGGCGGCCUUGUAAGUCAGGUGUGAAAUCCCUCGGCUCAACCGAGGAAUGGCGCUUGAUACUGCAAGGCUUGAGUGAGCUAGGGGUGCACGGAACUUCCAGUGGAGCGGUGAAAUGUGUUGAUAUUGGAAGGAACACCGGAGGCGAAAGCGGUGCACUGGGGCUUAACUGACGCUGAGGCACGAAAGCCAGGGUAGCGAACGGG